rnacentral:rRNA from 1 species
UACGAAGGGGGCUAGCGUUGUUCGGAAUUACUGGGCGUAAAGCGCACGUAGGCGGAUAUUUAAGUCAGGGGUGAAAUCCCAGAGCUCAACUCUGGAACUGCCUUUGAUACUGGGUAUCUUGAGUAUGGGAGAGGUGAGUGGAAUUCCGAGUGUAGAGGUGAAAUUCGUAGAUAUUCGGAGGAACACCAGUGGCGAAGGCGGCUCACUGGUCCAUUACUGACGCUGAGGUGCGAAAGCGUGGGGAGCAAACAGG